GUGUCAGCCGCCGCGGUAAUACGUAGGGGGCAAGCGUUGUCCGGAAUUAUUGGGCGUAAAGCGCACGCAGGCGGUUCGCUAAGUUCGAGGUGACAAUCAGCGGCUUAACCGGUGAACGAUUUCGAAAACUGGCGGACUUGAGAGCGAGAGAGGGACAUGGAACUCCGGGUGGAGCGGUGAAAUGCGUAGAGAUCCGGAAGAACACCAAUGGCGAAGGCAGUGUCCUGGCUCGUAUCUGACGCUGAGGUGCGAAAGCUAGGGGAGCGAACGGGAUUAGAUACCCGUGUAGUCC
rnacentral:rRNA from 1 species